GAUGAAGAACGUAGCGAAAUGCGAUAAGUAAUGUGAAUUGCAGAAUUCAGUGAAUCAUCGAAUCUUUGAACGCACAUUGCGCCCGCCAGUAUUCUGGCGGGCAUGCCUGUUCGAGCGUCAUUACAACCCUCAGGCCCCCGGGCCUGGCGUUGGGGAUCGGCGGAGCCCCCCGUGGGCACACGCCGUCCCCCAAAUACAGUGGCGGUCCCGCCGCAGCUUCCAUCGCGUAGUAGCUAACACCUCGCGACUGGAGAGCGGCGCGCCCACGCCGUAAAACACCCAACUCUUCUGAAGUUGACCUCGAAUCAGGUAGGAAUACCCGCUGAACUUAAGCAUAUCAAUAAGCGGAGGA
rnacentral:misc_RNA from 1 species